GAUGAACGCUAGCUACAGGCUUAACACAUGCAAGUCGAGGGGCAGCAUGGUCUUAGCUUGCUAAGGCCGAUGGCGACCGGCGCACGGGUGAGUAACACGUAUCCAACCUGCCGUCUACUCUUGGACAGCCUUCUGAAAGGAAGAUUAAUACAAGAUGGCAUCAUGAGUUCACAUGUUCACAUGAUUAAAGGUAUUCCGGUAGACGAUGGGGAUGCGUUCCAUUAGAUAGUAGGCGGGGUAACGGCCCACCUAGUCUUCGAUGGAUAGGGGUUCUGAGAGGAAGGUCCCCCACAUUGGAACUGAGACACGGUCCAAACUCCUACGGGAGGCAGCAGUGAGGAAUAUUGGUCAAUGGGCGAGAGCCUGAACCAGCCAAGUAGCGUGAAGGAUGACUGCCCUAUGGGUUGUAAACUGCUUUUAUAAGGGUAAUAAAGUGAGUCUCGUGAGGCUUUUUGCAUGUACCUUAUGAAUAAGGACCGGCUAA
rnacentral:rRNA from 1 species